rnacentral:rRNA from 1 species
UACGGGGGGAGCAAGCGUUGUUCGGAUUUACUGGGCGUAAAGGGCGCGUAGGCGGCCACCGCAAGUCGACUGUGAAAUCUCCGGGCUUAACCCGGAAUGGUCAAGUGAUACUGUCGUGCUAGAGUACAGAAGGGGCAACUGGAAUUCUCGGUGUAGCGGUGAAAUGCGUAGAUAUCGAGAGGAACACCUGCGGCGAAGGCGGGUUGCUGGGCUGAUACUGACGCUGAGGCGCGAAAGCCAGGGGAGCGAACGGG